CCAACUGUUGCCAUAGCAGUCAGUGUUUCCAUGUCACCGCCUUGUUCUCCCCAGACGUGACUCCACUAAUACAUGUUCCAGACCUGCAAUCCCAGGGUUCUGGCCAGAAGGAAACAGAUACGCGCUGCUGUAAAAUCCACUGAGGAGGCCAGCCCUGCCCUGAAGUCUGCGUCCCAAGCAACAGGAAGAAGACACCAGAACCUGCAGAUCAGUUCCUUGAGAGCCUGGCCCUGACAUGGGCUCCAGGACACGAAGAAUCUGGACCAUCCUUCAAUCCUCAUCAAAGACCUCUGCUGUGUGGCUAUCACCAAGUCUCCCAACCUUGGUGGAUGAUCCUGUCUCAUUUAUCAUUCAAAAAGAAUAGUAAAUAAACAGGCCGCCAGCAGGCAAACUACGCCAAGGAUUCUAUGGGGCUGUAUGUUUCUACUGGCCACCUUACCCUGAUUUGGUGUUUUUGUUGAAUUCUUUCUCCCCAUGCUGUGACUCAUCUCUUCUGAUUCUUGUCUCCUCUCUGUCCCACUUACCACACAUUCCUUCAGCCCCUCCAAUUAGUUGCUUACUGCAGGCUGUCAGCAACAGAAUUACAGCAGAACAAAAUACAAGGAUUGGCUUAUUUUAAUCUCACAUGCUUGUCUGGACAUAGAAACACCCCUGGAAAAGUACGUUACACAGAGGACCUGGAGUCAGGGGUGGGAGGGAAACUCUCACUUACCCAACAAAUUCUGAUUGUGCACCUGAUACCCACCAAGCAUCGUUCCAGGUACUUGGGAUACAUCAAUGAACAAAAAGGCAGGAAUCACUCUCCUGGUGGAUUUUUUAUUUGGUCAAAGGAAGACAAAGAAAAUACCCCCCCCCCCCAAAAAAAAAACCCUAAAUGACUUA